UUCGACCUGAGCUCAGGCAAGACUACCCGCUGAACUUAAGCAUAUCAAUAAGCGGGAGGA
rnacentral:rRNA from 1 species